rnacentral:tRNA from 1 species
UAGCUCAGUUGGUAGAGCAUGGUGUUUGCAUGGUGUUUGCAACACAUGGUGUUCGCAACGCCAGGGUUGUGGGUUCGAUUCCCAC